rnacentral:misc_RNA from 1 species
GAUCUGAUUAUUCUUCAGUAUCACUUUGUGAUUUAGGAGCCCAGAACUUUGAUUGGAGAAUGCUUGAAUCGGAAGAGAGAGAAGGAAUCGUGGCGUUGUUAAAGUCCCGGAAACACAAGUCACUGAAGUGUCCGUCAUUACAAGCUGUUAGUAUACGACUUCCAUUGACAGCCAUUGCAGAACACCGAUAGCCUUGACGAGAAUCAGAUAGAGAGCAGCAAUUCAAUGAAGUUAAUUGUCUACCGUUCCCCGUCUCCCAAACAUGUACCUGGAAAUCCUUCAGCCCACCACUAACAAUCUUGUAGGGAUCCAUGUGCAAGAGGCUUACAUUGCCUCUAUGUCCAUCUAAUUCAGCUACUGCUUCUCCCUUGUGUAUGUCACACCCUCUUCUCACAUCCCAAAGCAUUGCUCUUUGAGCUAACCCUGUGCACAUCAAUGAUUUCUCUGGCAACAUUUGAAAUGAAUGUACUUCUUCUUGAUGGUUCACUUUGAAAACUUGACGCAUUGUUCUUAUAUCAAUUGCAACAACAGAGGUACCAGCCGCAAUAUAGAUCAGUGAUUCAUGACACUUCAUUGCUUUAGGUGCACCAGGCACAGUGCUCUUUCCCACACAGCAUGAAGAACGAUUAGAUGAAGUAGCAGUGUCCCAAACUAUCACCU